rnacentral:rRNA from 1 species
UAAGGGCGCACGGUGGAUGCCUUGGCACUAGAAGCCGAUGAAGGACGUUACUAACGACGAUAUGCUUUGGGGAGCUGUAAGUAAGCUUUGAUCCAGAGAUUUCCGAAUGGGGAAACCCAGCAUGAGUUAUGUCAUGUUAUCGAUAUGUGAAUACAUAGCAUAUCAGAAGGCACACCCGGAGAACUGAAACAUCUUAGUACCCGGAGGAAGAGAAAGAAAAUUCGAUUCCCUUAGUAGCGGCGAGCGAAACGGGAAGAGCCCAAACCAACAAGCUUGCUUGUUGGGGUUGUAGGACACUCUAUACGGAGUUACAAAGGACGACAUUAGACGAAUCAUCUGGAAAGAUGAAUCAAAGAAGGUAAUAAUCCUGUAGUCGAAAAUGUUGUCUCUCUUGAGUGGAUCCUGAGUACGACGGAGCACGUGAAAUUCCGUCGGAAUCUGGGAGGACCAUCUCCUAAGGCUAAAUACUCUCUAGUGACCGAUAGUGAACCAGUACCGUGAGGGAA